GUUUAGCCCUGAUUGAAACGACAUCCUUUUGCUUUUUAUGCAAAAAGAUACAGUGGAAAGCAGGAAAUAGC
rnacentral:sRNA from 1 species